AGGAUAGCUCAGCUGGUUAGAGCGCCGCACUCAUAACGCGGAGGUCGGCGGUUCAAGUCCGCCUCC
rnacentral:tRNA from 1 species